GGCCGGCGCGACUCGGCCCGGCCCGACCCGACCCCGACCCGACGGGCGAUCGCGGCCGCGUCCACGUCGCUCCUGCCGUCCGUCCCGUAUCCCUUUUCCCCACCCCCCACGGGCGGCCGGCCGGCUCCCGUCGUGCGCCACGCCCCCUCUCCUAUGGCCUGGGACCCCGACGGCGCCGCCCCAUGCCCGCCCCGCUCAUCCCCAUCGCGGCGGCCACGGCCGCCGCCACCUCGGCCGUCGGCGUAGCGCUGGGGGUGCGCCUGCUCCUGCUCCUCUCCCGCUCGCGCGCGCUCAAGCCGCUCGCCGCCACCACGUCCGCGGCCGCGGCCGCGCUCCGGGCGCCGCGGGUCCUCGCCGCCGCCUCCUCCCCGCUCGCCGCCCUCCUCGCCGCCUCCAAGGCCGCCUCCAAGUCCUACAAGGCGGCGCGCGCGCUCGACCCGGCCGCGCGCCUCCCCUCGCUGCCCUCCUCCAAGCGCGUCAAGGCCGCCUUCGCCGCCGCCUCCCUCCUCCGCGCCUCGCCCCGACCCUCCUCCUCCUCCCCGCCGCCGCCUCCUCGCCCUCCUCCUCCUCCCCCACCGCCCUCGGCGCGCUCGCGCUGCUCAAGUCGGGGUACAAGCUCUCCAAGAACUCCGCCAAGGUCGUCGAGGGCUUCCUCGGCCUGCAGGUCCACAAGGGCUUCCGCAACGGCGUCGACGCGCUCGGCGUCGUCGUCAAGGUCGCCGUCAUCGCCUCCGAGGUCGCCGUCUGGGUCGGCGGCCGCUUCUGGGGCGCCGACGACGACGGCCGCGGCCGCUGCGUCCGCUUCCUUGGCCUCACCAGGACGACUACCUUGGUCCUAGCCGGGUCUGCAAAAUCUGAAGCCCAGGUUGUGCUCUUCGAUCCUGGAACUGCCGUCGAGAUGGAGGACGAGGGGUGCUGGUUGGAGGAGGACCCGGACCCCUCCCUGUUGCUCUGCCUCGCGGUGCCCCUGCCUGCCUGAGAUGGCCAAAUUAGUGAGUUAGUUGCAAUUAGCACACAGCUGCGUUGUACAGUUGCUUAUAUCAUCAGAUGUUGUAUGUAGUCACGUACGCUUUUCAAUUUUGAUCCAAUGCUUGCUUCCUAGCUCAUGUGUGUUGGUUUUUCAGUUAGCUGCGACUGCUUGUUUGUGCAUUACCCCUCAAUCAACAAGUAAAGUAAAUAAAAUCGGUGGUUUAUGCUCA